AAUUCAUCGCGAGCAACCGAGGGACUGGCCUUAUGACGUUGCGGCAACCCCCAGUUUGGGAAGGUGCCAAAUCCAACGGAACAUUCCGGCAGAUGAUGU
rnacentral:ncRNA from 2 species